CGGGCUAUGUGUACAUAUUAAUGUUAAUUUUCAAAUUAUCAUGAUUAUAAAAUUUUACUUACAAAUUCUUUUUUUAAAAAAUUUUCAGUUUUUAUGUAUAUUAAUAUUAAUGUAAUUCAUUUCAUCUUAAUUAAAUUGCACCUUGACCUGAUAUUUAAAAAUAAUUUUUUUGGUAAUUUAUUUUUAAUAAUUACUGUGUACGGUGGUAUACAAAUAUAAAUUAAGUAAGGUUUAUCGUGUAUUUUCGUUUCAGAAACAAAUUCCUUUGUAAAAGUUAAUACCGUCAAAUUUAUUAUUUUAUUUUUUUUUGAAGUAUUAUAUUAUAAUAUAGAAUAAUAGGGUAUCUA
rnacentral:rRNA from 1 species